UACUCUUAAGUCUUAAGCAUUGCAUGAAGAGUAAGGGUAUCACCUUUUGCAUGCGGACACCUCGCAAACUCAUUUCCAGUUGGUUCUCUAGCUUUUGUAGGUCGUGGACACUCAAACCAUAAAGCUCUUCUCCCAUCAAUUGCCUGUCUCAUCAAAAUUACAAUCUUCUUUUCGCUAUCAGACCUUAGUUAUAAUUCAAUAUAUGAUCAGUCUUACAUGUCUUGAAGAGAUAAGGGAAGCAAUUUUCAUUAUUUGUCUAGUGAAAUCUAGGGAUCCUCUAGGUUUUUUAUCCUUUAUUGGAGAAUCUUAUUGAUUGUUAAUCAUGCCAUUGAUUUCCAGUUUAGGGGGCAACAAUUACAAGAACAAAGGAUAUAUACUAUCAAAAAAGAAACUGAAAUAUCUUGUAAAUGUUAAAGCAAGCGAGAAAUGUACUAAAAGACUUAUCUCAACAUAAAAGCAUAAACAAAAGUGCCAUGAAGAAGUCAAUGUGCAGGUCAAAAUCAUGGAAAUAUAUUCUUACAAGAGAAGGCUAGAAAUGAUGAUGAAACAUGCAAAAAGGGUGGCCAAAAUUGUGAGAGAACUACAGACACACACAAUUAAAUAAAUAAAUAAAUAAAUUUUGUAAUUGGAUAACGGGAAAGUAUAAAAGGAAACUGGAUGAAACUGAAGAAUGUAGACUAGAACAAAAGAGAAGGGAAAGGAAAUCAGCAAGAGGGGCAACAUAACAUUUUGAAAUCCUUUUUAAUGCCAAAAACAAAAAUGACAUAAUGCUUCUGUAGUAGAAAAAUUGUGAUGUCCAAAAUAUGUGACCAAUAAGAGUAAGAAUUAAAAGGAGAAGGGAAAGAAAGAAAAAGAAGAGAAGAAUGGGAAGGAGGAGAAGAAUAAAGAAAACUGGAGCAUCUGGCUCUAGCUUCUAUUCUCUAAAACCACAACUAUUUUAAAGAGUGUUAUUGAGGACAUAAUAUAAUCCUUAGUAGCACAACCUAUGUAACAUAUGGUACGGCUCUUAUUUUUUUGUGAUAAUCAUCCAUACAUUACAUAUAUUUUAAAUAAUUUAUGAAGCAUACUAUUGACGUGUAAGGAGGAGAAGAAUAAAGAAAACUGGAGCAUCUGGCUCUAGCUUCUAUUCCCUGAACCCAUAACUGUUUUAAAGAGUGUUAUGGAGGACAUAAUACAAUCCUUAGUAGCACAAGCUAUAUAACAUAUGGAACAACUCUUAUUUUUCUGUGAUAAUCAUCCCUACAUUACAUAUAUUUUAAAUAAUUUAUGAAGCACACUAUUUUACCAACUAUUGUAUGGUAUCAAGUGCUAUGCUAUUUACCAGGUCAAUUACCUUUUCAUUUAAAAUCAAGUAUAUCCAAGCUAAAGGAGAAGGAAUUUUACCGAUAAUUUUCUUGCAAGUUGUGUAAUUGUUGCCUCAAGAUUUCUGCCUCCCUUUGCCAAAACUAGCAAGUAUGGUGGCACAAAUUAAAGUGUAUACAGUAGAGUGUGAGAGACUUCAGAGCAUCAUGACUAAACCGAAUCAGAGUGUUUGAAAAUCUAAGUCAUGGAUGUAACAUGACACUUGCUGAAAAAAGAAAAUAUAACAUGACACUUACUCAACAAAUAGGCCAGGCUACUAAAGCAUUUGUUGCAUUGGCUACAGUCAUUAGGCUUUUAUUAGGUUUCAAAAUUGUUUUGUGAAUAUUUCCAUUGUACCCAUAAGCAAAAUUUUGUAAUUUGUUUUCUUUGAACUCAUUAUAGUGGACUGUGGACCUAUAUCACAAAAUUUUAAGAAUUUGAGGAGUGAGGACUGGAAAAUGUGAAUUCUCAGUCAACUGGAGUUGAACAUGUCAAAUUAUGUAACCAUGCAUUUUCUUUCUUUUACUUAUUUUUCCUAAUGUAAUCUUAUCAUAUUUUUACAUUUUAUAAUUUACCGCUCCUUUCUCAAUCAACUCAUGAAUUCUAUAAACAUUGCAGGUUAAUGAGCUCGUUCACUAGUAAGACAUCCCAUUUUUCUAAAAUGGUCAUCCCAUUGUUAUAAAUAUCUAAUUGAAGUGAUGAUUUUCGUUUGUUAAUCUUUAUGGGGAACGAGUUCAUAUUAGGAUGUGCAUGCUGAAGAGUGCGCGUGACUCAUGUAUGCAAGGUUCCAAAUGUCACUCCAGUGGGAAAUUACACUACCUUGGUAACAAGAUAACAUCACAAGGUAACUUUUCACUGGAAGAAAUAUUUGCAAAUAUAACCCUUGACAUUUUGAUUUUAGGUGAAAUUAUUUUGCAAUGUAAGUUUCAUUCCUAGAAGAAUCAUGUGCAGUAGCUAUACAUAUUAAGGGGAAAUUGGAUUGCUUGUACAAUCAUACUUUGUUCUGAGAUACAGAAAAAUGAGCAAUAUUGUUGCAUAUGAUAUUUUUGUUGAAUUUUAUGUUUUGAGUUAUUCCUAAGAUGAUUUUAUUUCCUUAGUUCAUUCAAGAAUUUUGUGUUAAAAAUUGUAGCACAGUUGUGGUUAUUACAAUUUUUCUGAUAUUAUGAAAUGUUGCAGGAUUGUGACAAACAUUUUUUGUCUAAACUAACUCAAACAUCCUAUCUUUUUGUGGCCAUUCUUGUACUUUCUUAGCCAAGGAAAUCUAUGAGCUUUGCCACUUUCCACUUGCAUUUUAAAAUAAGAUGCAGGAAAAGGACAAGAAGUGGGAGCCAUAAUUGUCCAAAGAUAGCUAUCCAAAAUGUUUGGACAAUGGUAUAUCCUUUCAGAGAUUAUUAGCACACAAACAAGAGUGUUGAAGGCAUCAACACCCAUAAAGGUUUUCAUGUCAGUGCACCGUUUUGUUGACAUAAUUCCGUUAAAAAUAGUUUUUUUCUCUUAGCUGAGCAGGAUUCUAGAAUAGUACGAUUCCAUUUCUUUUCUUGUUGUAGUAAAUGAAGUGAUUUCUAAUCACUAAAAGUUUUUCUUACUACUGAUACCCUUUUUGUGUUCCAGCCACAUUUCAAUGCCUAGAUGGAGUUUUGGAACUGUACCUACCAUGUGAUAUGUAAGUAUUGAUAUAUGGGUUCAUGAAACAAAGGUGAUAGCAAAACAACACUAGAGUGAAUAUGCAAACGUUGUAGGAGAACUUUGUGCAUGAUUUGAUUUUAGAUGACCAAUAUGUCUGUGCAUAUGCUGUAUGGGUGCUACAAAACGUGGAAGUACAAUCAUUUAGCGUCCAUAAUUCUACUCGCGGCUUAUUGAAACAAAAUUUAACAAGUAUUGCCCUUACGCACCAUAUUUCUACAAAUGAUUAUCUGAAUUAUAAACAAAUAUGACGAGAAUGACCCCUGCUUUUUAACAAGUAUUGUUCUUACAUAUCAUAUUCUAUAAACCUGCCUCAAUGACAUUUGAAAGAUAAGAGUUUAGAUGUGUCUUAAUGCUUGAUGGAACUUAAAAGACCCCUGCUUACUACAUAUAUAAUGUUAUGUUAUUUAGCUACUUUUGUAGUGUUCCUAUAGUAAUGCAAAAUUGUAUAUCUCAUUAAUAUGCAUAUGCAUAUAUUUAAUAAAUUCUCAGCACUAUUGCAUUGAAGGCUAAACAGAACAAAAAUAUGCCAUCCACAUCAUUAAUUCUUCUGGAGAAAUUGCAGAGCUAGAGUAGUUCGAGGGAGUGUACCUUGACUUCUGAUACUUGAUUUUGCAGUUGACGUUCCUCAUUGGAUUUAUUAUACCUCUCAAUUACUGAUUUCAUGCUGACAAUUGUAAACAGAAGAAUGAUUAGAUUCUUGUUGCUGUUGUAUUUAUCAUCUUUAACACUGGGAAGUGACGGCGCAAGUGUCGGGGAAUUUGCAUCGUUGUGAAGGCAGAAGCAGGUAGGAGAAGCUUUGAAGAAGCAUGAAAAAAAGGGGGAUAAAAAGUCCACAAAAUAAUCCCUGUAUCUGAAUAACUAUUUUAGAUUACUUUAUCUCCAAUUUUCUGGUGUUUCAUUCAAAUGUAUGUAUUUCAUGAUGAAUUUGUUCGAAUACAAAGUGAUUUGAUUUCUGUCUUGUGUUAUGACUCAGCAUUGCAUAUGCCCAGAAAUCACAAUGUUAUGUUCACUUUGUCUUUUUCUUAUGUCUACACACACUUUGUUCUAUCAUAUAUGAUUUUAGAAA